rnacentral:rRNA from 1 species
AGGACGAACGCUGGCGGCGUGCUUAACACAUGCAAGUCGAGCGGAAAGGCCCUUCGGGGUACUCGAGCGGCGAACGGGUGAGUAACACGUGAGCAACCUGCCCCUGGCUCUGGGAUAGCCUCCGGAAACGGGGAUUAAUACCGGACAUUCUCCGCCUUCCGCAUGGUUGGCGGUGGAAAGUUUUUUCGGCCGGGGAGGGGCUCGCGGCCUAUCAGCUUGUUGGCGGGGUAACGGCCCACCAAGGCGACGACGGGUAGCCGGCCUGAGAGGGCGACCGGCCACACUGGGACUGAGACACGGCCCAGACUCCUACGGGAGGCAGCAGUGGGGAAUAUUGCGCAAUGGGCGGAAGCCUGACGCAGCGACGCCGCGUGGGGGGAUGAAGGCCUUCGGGUUGUAAACCCCGUUUCACCAGGAGCGAAUCAAGACGGUACCUGGGGAAGAAGCGCCGGCUAACUACGUGCCAGCAGCCGC